AGCGAACGCUGGCAGCAGGCUUAACACAUGCAAGUCGAGCGGGCGUAGCAAUACGCCAGCGGCAGACGGGUGAGUAACGCGUGGGAACGUACCUUUUGGUUCGGAACAACACAGGGAAACUUGUGCUAAUACCGGAUAAGCCCUUACGGGGAAAGAUUUAUCGCCGAAAGAUCGGCCCGCGUCUGAUUAGCUAGUUGGUGAGGUAACGGCUCACCAAGGCGACGAUCAGUAGCUGGUCUGAGAGGAUGAUCAGCCACAUUGGGACUGAGACACGGCCCAAACUCCUACGGGAGGCAGCAGUGGGGAAUAUUGGACAAUGGGCGCAAGCCUGAUCCAGCCAUGCCGCGUGAGUGAUGAAGGCCCUAGGGUUGUAAAGCUCUUUUGUGCGGGAAGAUAAUGACGGUACCGCAAGAAUAAGCCCCGGCUAACUUCGUGCCAGCCGCCGCGGUAACAC
rnacentral:rRNA from 1 species